rnacentral:rRNA from 1 species
GAACGCUGGCGGCAUGCUAACACAUGCAAGUUGUAAUGACCGAAAUAUGGUCGUGGUGGACGGGUGAGUAACGCGUAAUUUAUCAACCCUUAGGAAGUUACAUAACAAAUGGAAACGUUUGAUAAUAUGCUAUAAAAUCUUUAUUAAAAUUUAGAUUGAAACUUUAAUUGGUCUGGGGACGAGAUUGCGUCUGAUUAGCUCGUUGGUGGGGUAAUAGCUUACCAAGGCUUUGAUCAGUAACUGGUCUGAGAGGACGAUCAGUCACACUGGAAUUGAGAUACGGGACAGACUCCUACGGGAGGCAGCAGUGGGGAAUUUUUGGCAAUGGGCGUAAGCUUGACCAAGCAAUGCCGCGUGGAGGAAGAAAGCCUUCGGGUUGUAAUCUCCUUUUCUCAUCGAAGAAGUUCUGACGGUAGUUGAGGAAUAAGUAUCGGCUAAUUCUGUGCCAGCAGCCGCGGUAAUACAGAAGAUACAAGCGUUAUCCGGAAUUAUUGGGCGUAAAGCGUCUGUAGAUGGUUAAAUAAGUUUAAUGUUAAAUAUUAAAGCUUAACUUUAAAACGGCAUUAAAAACUGUUAAACUUGAGUACGAUAGGGGUAGAGGGAAUUUCCAGUGUAGCGGUGAAAUGCGUAGAUAUUGGAAGGAACACCAAUGGCGAAAGCACUCUUCUAGGUUGAUACUGACAUUGAGAGACGAAAGCCAGGGGAGCAAAACGGAUUAGAUACCCGUGUAGUCCUGGCCGUAAACGAUGGAUACUAAGUGGUGCUUUUGUACUGCUAAAGCUAACGCGUUAAGUAUCCCGCCUGGGGAGUACGCUUGCAAAAGUGAAACUCAAAGGACUUGACGGGAAUAUACACAAGCGGUGGAGCAUGUGGUUUAAUUCGUCGAUACACGAAUAACCUUACCAGGGUUUGACAUGUUGAAAAGUUGUCUGAAAAGAUGAUGUGCCUUUUGGAAUUCAAACACAGGUGGUGCAUGGUUGUCGUCAGCUCGUGCCGUGAGGUUUUGGGUUAAGUCCCGCAACGAGCGCAACCCUUGUUCUUAGUUGAAUUUCUAAGAAAACUGCCGUUGAUAAAGCGGAGGAAGGAGAGGAAGAAGUCAAAUCAUCAUGCCCCUUAUACCCUGGGCUACACACGUGCUACAAUGGAUAAGACAACGGGCUGCUAAUUCGCGAGAGUAUGCUAAUCUCUUAAACUUAUCCCUAGUUCGGACUGUAGGCUGCAACUCGCCUGCACGAAGCCGGAAUCGCUAGUAAUCGUCGGUCAGCUAUACGGCGGUGAAUGUGUUCUUAUAUUUUGUACAUACCGCCCGUCACACUAUGAGAGUCGGUCAAACCUGACGUAAUUUUCAAUUGUCUUCUUGCGAGAGAUGUUCAAUAAAUUACUAAGGUUGGGUUGGUAAUUAAAGUGAAGUCGUAACAAGGUAGCCGU